UUGAUUCAAUGCAGGUUGUACUCAGUUGAAGCUUCAGAGCAAAGGCAGAAAUCUGUAACUGGGUUUCAACUGUGCUCUCCCUGCAGGUAAAACUAAAUUCUGACUCUUGUCUCUUCUUUGUGUCUGUGUUUAGGUAAUUUAGACCUAAUAGUGUGUGUGUGUGUGUGUGUGUGUGGUUUCGGGAACUGACGAUCUGAUGGG